UGCGCGCUCAGGUACUCCCGUGAGGCAUUGCGGGGCGCGCGGUUGGAGGCUGGAGGAGAGCAGUGGCCCGGGCGCCCUGAGGUGAGGGGCUGGCGUUCGGGUCUGGUGGGGCCGCCGCUAGAGGCAUCGAUAGAGGUCGCUGGGCCGGGUUGCGGGCUGGGCCGGGAGGCUGAGGCUUCGUGCCGGGGGUGGGGGCGGCGGUGCUUGGCUGGUCAACCGGCUGGGGUUUUUUUUUUUUCUGAUGCUGCGGAUAAAGCUCAAGGCCUCAAUCAUACUAGGCAAACGUUAAACCCGAAAUAUACCCUUAUCUAUUAUCCAUCUUUUAAAAACAGCGACUCGGUACUUUUGUGGGUAUGUUUUAUUAGAGCUUCUUAAGUGUCAUAGCUGAGUACUCAGAAACAAACAAAAACCAACCCAGAGAUUUUGCUACCAGAGUGUCAAACGUAUCGUGAUGUUAAGGCCUGCAAUUGCCAAUGACCUUCGUUUGGCUCAAGUCGUGGUUCAUUGUGCUCUGGUAGAAAAAAUUUUUUUUUACUUGAUGACUGAUGGGUACUGAAACCUGCCAACUUGUUCUGGUUUUCUCUGCAUUAGGCUAGUUAUAUCUAUAGAUCGAGUCGUUUGAACCUGAUGAACGCAGAUUGAGGUAAAUAUUUAGUUGAUUCUUCCUUAGAAAGGUAGGCAUAUUUUUCCUAAACGACAAGGGGGAAAACUAUUCUGCAAAAUGUAGUUUAAGUAAUUUCAUCAUUGGGGAAAAAUUAAUUUUUUUAUCGUUAUAUCUUCAUUAAUUAGAUUCUUCUUUACUGUUUGAUUGCUUCUGUUUUGCUUUGUUUUAAUCAGAUAUUGCACCUGCAUCUGCCUUUCUCUCAAGUAGCCACCUGAUAAAAUUGUCUGUAUUUUUAAAAUGCAUUUUCCUUGUUUGUGGUCUAAUACUUGUGUUUUUUCCCUCAUUAGGAAAACAUAUUGUAGAUUGUAUUUUUUUUCCUUCUUCUAUGGACUUAGUGUAAACAUUUUUUUUUCUGUUUGAACUUAGUUUUAAAAAACCAUAAAUUCAUGUCAAAUAUAAAACACAGGAGUAGUUAAACCAUGAGUUGUGGAAAAGAGUUUGUGGAAACAUUGAAAAAAAUUGGUUAUCCCAAAGCUGACAUUCUUAAUGGAGAAGAUUUUGACUGGCUGUUUGAGGCUAUUGAAGAUGAGUCAUUUUUGAAAUGGUUUUGUGGGAAUGUGAGUGAACAGAAUGUAUUGUCCGAAAAAGAAUUGGAAGCCUUCAGAGAUCUUCAGCGAUCAGGCAAGCCCAUCCUAGAAGGAACAGCAUUGGAUGAAGUUCUUAGAACCUGUAAAACUUUUGAUUUGAAGACAUGUAAACUGGAUGACAAAGAGAUUCAGAGAUUAGAGGAUGAGGUUCAAACUCUGCAGAAAUUAAAUAAUUCAAAAAUUCAGCGACGGAAUAAAUACCAGUUAAUGGCUUCUGAAACUAGCUACAAGUCUCUGUCAUUAAAUGCCAAACAAGAGGAAGCCACUAAGAAGCUGAAACAGAGGCAGGGGUCCCUAAAUGCUGUGAAUACCAAGCUCAGUAAUGAACUCCAGGUUCUUACUGAGGGGGUUAAUAAUUUGAUGAUGUUCUUUAGAAAUUCUAAUUUAAGUGAAAGCACAAAUCCAAUGGUGUUUUUAUCUCAGUUUUCCUUGGGAAAGUAUAUAAGCCAAGAAGAGCAGAGCACAGCAGCCUUAACCUUAUAUACAAAAAAGCAAUUCUUUCAGGGUAUACAUGAAGUAGUCGAAAGUUCAAAUGAAGACAAUUUUCAGCUUCUAGAUAUACAAACACCAUCUAUUUGCGAUAAUGGAGAAAUCCUUGGGGAACGACGCCUGGAGAUGGCUAGACUGCAGAUGGCAUGCAUCUGUGCCCAACAACAGCUCAUAUACUUGAAAGCAAGUAAUUUGAGCAUGAAGUCAAGUGUAAAAUGGGCAGAAGAGAAUCUUCAUAGACUAACCAAAGAGGUUGUUGGGAAAGAAAAUUUGGAUGCAAAAAUUUCUAGCUUGAACAGUGAGAUUAUCAAACUUGAAGAACAAAUCACUCAUAUAAAAGGCAGAACUCUGCCUGCUUUGGUAAAGGAGAAUGCUCAGCUGUUGAACAUGCCAGUUGUUAAGGGCGACUUUGAUCUGCAGAUUUCUAAACAAGAUUAUUAUACAGCAAGACAAGAGUUAGUAUUGAAUGAGCUGAUAAAGCAGAAGGCAUCGUUUGAGCUGGUUCAGUUAGCAUAUGAGAUUGAGUUGAGAAAACACUGGGAUACAUAUCGACAAUUGGAGAGUUUGGUUCAGCAGCUCAGUCAAAGAAACACAGUGCUCUGCCAGCACUUGGCCUUGUUAACAGACCUACCAGCAUCUGAGCAGUUAAACUCAAGGACUCCCAUCGACACCAAAGACCAUUCUACUCAUAGGCUUUAUCAACUUUUAGAAGGAGACAAUAAGAAAAAAGAAUUGUUUAUAACCCACGAACAGCUGGAGGAAGUGGCUGAGAAAUUGAAACAAGAUGUUUCUGUAACACGAGAUCAGUUGGCAGUAUGUACUCAAGAGCAUUAUUUCUUUUUGUCUAAACUGAAUAAGGACGUGGACAUGCUGUGUGACGCUUUGUAUCAUGGAGGGAGUCAGCUGUUGCUUUGUGAUCAGGGCUUUAUGAAAAUGGAAAAUUAUGAGGCAUGUGUAGGUUUUGAUCUCUGUGAGACACCCCUCUCCACUGUUGCUCAGAAGAUUAUGUCUGCUAUGCGCUCAGGUGAUUUAAUGGCUUCUAGGAAUGAGGGAGAGAGGACAAAGACUUCAGAAGUGACAAAGAAACCCAGUGUUCAUUUCUCAGUAUUAGCUGAGCAUGAAAAGACUCAACCACUAGAAACAAAGAACCCCAAGUCAUUAAUAAACCAGACACCAAGAGGAUCUGUUGAGCUCUCUUCUCAACCCUCCAUUACCAAGCUCUCUGCUGGUCAAGUACAGAACAGCAUUAGCUCAUCAGGCCUUUCCAGUUAUUUAAUUCCACAGUGUGAUCAGGAAGCUUCAGUUUUACAGAACAGAGAGCAUAAGAGAAAGCAUUUCCUAAAGGAAAAUAUAGGCAAAGAAGAUAAGGACAGCUUGAAUCUUAAAAGAAAAUAUAUUACAUGUAGUAAUUCCCCAGAAAAAGCAAGUAAACACACAGCGCUGGGAAAAGAGACUGAUGGGACCGAAUCCUGGCAAAAUUCCGAGGACACAAGAGCUUUGGGGAAACAGCUGUGUGAUGUUAGAUAUUUGGGUGAUUUGGCAAAAGUCCAGCUGAUGGAUGUUCUCAAGCAGGCAGCAGCCCUGGUGGUGACAUUGAUGUACAAGGACGGUUCCACACAGCUCAGUGCCAAGCAGGCUUUAACUUGUCCUGUUAAAGGAAUUGUGGUGUUACUAAAAAGCCAUGUAGGCAGCAGCCCUCUGAUUCUCCCAGCCCAUGGUGGUGCUCUGGGCAAGGAUUUCACAUCCACAGAUCACUGUAUCUACAUACAUACCGAGCAAUCCCCUUUCUGGGACCCAAAGCAAGAAGCACAUAGUCUAUUCGUCAGGAACAUACUGUUUUGGACACUUAGGUGUAAAUGCCCCGUUGUUUGUUUUAAUGCCAAGGACUUUGUGAGAACAGUACUGCAGCUUUAUGGUGAGGAUGGCAGUUGGAAGCAUGUUGCUGGUUUUGUAGGACUAGAUCCCAGAGUUGCUGCAUGGCUCAUAGAUCCCAGUGACACUGCACCUUCAUUUGAAGAUUUAGUAGCAAAACACCUAGAAAAGUCCAUCAUAGUCAAACCAAGCAGCACAUUCAAUGAUGCGUCAAUAAAUAUUGUGAGUCAGAACGUAUGUGUGAACCUGAAGAUACUCUACGACCUUACAAUGGAUCUUUGUUCUAAGUUGAAGGCUUAUGGCUUAUGGCAGCUAUUUUGUACUUUGGAGCUUCCAUUGAUACCAAUUUUGGCAGUGAUGGAAAACCACAAGAUUUCAAUUGACAAAGAAGAAAUGGAGAGGACAUCGGCACUCCUUGGGGCUCACCUCAAGAAAUUGGAGCAAGAAGCCCAUUUUGUUGCAGGAGAACAGUUUCUUAUAAUGAGUAAUAAUCAACUUCGUGAGAUCCUCUUUGGCAAGUUGAAGCUGCACCUGUUGAGUCAGAGGAAACAUCUUCCCAGAACUGGGCUGCAGAACCAGCUGUCUACAUCAGAAGCCAUGUUAAAUUCUCUACAAGACCUUCACCCAUUACCCAAGAUAAUUCUGGAAUAUAGACAGGUUCACAAGAUCAAGUCAACUUUUAUAGAUGGAUUACUAGCUUAUAUGAAAAAGGGCUCCAUCUCUUCUACAUGGAAUCAGACUGGAACUGUGACAGGGAGACUUUCAGCCAAGCAUCCUGGAAAGAACGGCUUGCUGCUUGCCUUGGAGUCACUGUUUUGGAAGCAACCCACUUUUUGGAGCAAUUUCUACAGAAGUACAAGAAAAUCAAGGACUUUGCCCAGACAGUUAUUGGCCAGUGUCACAGUGCAGGCUAUGUGGCAUCCAUCUUGGGUAGAAGGAGGCCUCUCCCGAGGAUCUGUGCACAGAACCAGCAGCUUCGGGCACAAGCAGAGCGACAGGCAGUAAACUUUGUGGUACAAGGCUCAGCCGCAGACCUCUGUAAGCUAGCCAUGAUUCGCAUCUUUGCUGCAGUAGCCACAUCCCCGACCCUGACAGCCAGGUCAGUGAAGUAGUCAUUUUUUUUCUGGGCCCAGCCUUGAACUUCUGCCAGAGAGAUUUGUCAGGUGCCAAAAGGGCAUUAUUCCUUCUGCCUACCAUACUAUCUACCCUCCAUCUUACCCUAAGGACCCCAAGCCCCUCCCAUGGGCCUUUGCACACCAGGGUGCCCAUAUCACUGCCUAAGUGGGUCAGCACCUUUGCUCCCGGGAAAGCUCCUGUAGGAAGAACACAGCUUCCCUAGGUGGAAAUAUGAAAAGGGUCUCAUGGACCCCUCCCUAUGUAGUGGCCCCAAGAGGGCUUUGGGGACAUGGAAACCUACUUGCUAUGGGCAUUCCUCACCACGCUCACCAUUUUCUAUUGGCCUGAAAUAUACUUCAUACUCAAGGUAUUAAUUUUCCCUAUCAGCAUUCUCUCAUCUUUCUUUCAAAACUUUAUUUCUUCAAACAUUUCCUCUGUCCUUUUUGGCCUUGUACCUGUGUUCUUGGGUGAUUUUCACACCUUGGCACAGGAGUGUGCACUAUGGGUUGGUGCCAUACAUAGCUGAAGGCAGGAGGCCUAGCCUCAAGCCCUGUUGUCCACUGCCUUUUGCAGCUCUAUUCCAGACAUGUUUUUACUAAAAAGAAAGAGGUUAGGAAGCUGCAAACUUCCUCUGGGAAGUGUCUCAGAGGGAGGUGCAGACACUACAGCACAGCAUUGCUCCAGGCAUGGCCAAGAGUUAGCUGGGAGCAGACUAUGCAAAGUUUGAGCCCACCUGGUUUCUCUUGUCACCCUUCCUGUCUUCUGCCUAGUAGUCUCAGUGAUUCCCUCCCAAUUCCCUGCAAUUCCUGAAGGUCUGUACAUCUACCCACUCCCACUGUUCUGGAGAUAACCUCUAGCUUCUAGCUUCACUUGGGCUGUGCAUGUUGUAUUCUGAAAUUUCCUAAAUUCAGAAAGCAUCCUUCUUUCAGUUCUUGCCUGAGGUGUGUGUACUGACAGCACAUAGCACGGCAUCUACCACAUGCAAGGCUAGCAAGGUGCCUUUCUGUUGCUGUUUUGGAAUUGUUGAAAGGUGUUGGCAUAUUAAGGCUUAGGGUCUCCUUGGUGGGAAUACCUUUCCAAAAUGUGAGCACAGAGAAUCUGACUCAGGAAUACAGAGAAGAGGAAAUGAGACAAUAAGCAGCAUGUACCUUGUCCAAAUCCAGGCAGAGCCAAGCUAGGGCUAGGUGUCCUCCCAGGCCUCAGAGUCUCCUCCCUUAUACUACCACACAAAUGUACUUCUAGGAGGGAACCACAAAGAACUCAGUAUGGCUAGAGUGUGCUAUAGGAGGGAGCUUCCUAGCAGGCUCUUGUCAAAGGGAUGAGAUUAGUCCCUUCUGGAAAGUUCUCUCAAAUGAACCAGGAUCUGUCUGCCUGUGUCAGGUCAACCAGAUGCAGAUACAGUAGCUCUGUGCCCUCUGUAGAGCAGAUAUAUGCUAUGGAGGCAUGCCCUCCUUCUGGGAGCCUGGGUGGUCUAAGCCUGCAUUCUUCUGUUUCUCCUGUUCGUCCCUGUGCCCCAGCUUCCAAUGAAAGUGUGAUGUCUCUGUGUCUGUGAUGGUGGUGUGUGAGUGACUAACAGUCACACUUAUUAGGUCCUGCCACACUGGCAGCUCAGAUUGCACGGUGUGAUUUCAGGAAGUGUGAAGGCACUUCUGCUAAAUCUGGACAGAGUUGCAAGUGCCUCUUCUGGAGUUUCUGCCCAUUUGAAAAGUAUUCCACUUGGGAGCCAAGGCCUGCCAAACACCUUGAUGUUAGUUUAAGGAAACACAUCAGUACUACAGUUUAGUCCCUGUCCUGUCCUGCUACAGUCGGACUUCUGGAAGGGAAGUAUUGGUGCCCUAGCCAGAGGCAGUACAUAAGACACAAAGAUACCCCUGUGAGAAUGUCUCUGAGGAAUAGCGAAUGUAUACUUCACUAUUCCAUAGUCUGCUCAUGCCUGCACACUCUUUAGGAUGUGCAUUUGUUGGCCUCUAGUAACAAUGGCCUGGCUACAGUAGCCUGGGCUCAAAAAGGUAUACUGUUGUCCUGCCUGAGAAGUCCAAGGCACAGAGGUUGCUGGCUUUAUUUUUGAAGCUCAGGCCCUUUCCCUUUGAUGUCAUGAUAGACGUGGCUGCUCUGAUGAUCAUAGCACCUUCUAGGCAAGAGAAAGGUAGUAAUGGUCAAAGCAACCCUUUACAUGUCUUCCUGGGAGUGGGAAAACAGAUGACCUCUGGGACACCCCACCAUAGAAGAAAUCUAUGCAUGCUGAGAAUGUAGCCCUUUCUCUUUCCCAUUCAUCAGCAAAAGGGUAACAGAGAAGACAGAUGGACAGUUCAGCAUAGAACUCUGCUGUCAAGUACCAUCAUGGCUACUCUACUCAGACAUUUAAAGGCUGCUUCUUCCUUCUUGCCAGUGAGCACCAUCAGAUCCCAAUAUCACUGCUGUCAUAAGGGAAUUGCUACAACUUCCCUGUGAAGCCUCAGCUUCUAGCUACCACAGGAGAACAGGGCAAACAGCAGUGGGAGACAUAUGGCAUGUGAUUGUUGCCUUCAGAGUCCCAUCCAUGAGACAGAGCAAGAACCAUAGAGGACAGAGCACAUGGGAUCCUUCUAUGCCCUCAACCCUUCCUUGAGGUCUAUAGGUCCUGGUGACCAUCCCUACCUCAUGUACUACAGACUCCAGCCCUGAGUGUGCACCCACAAAAAUGCUAGCACCAAGCCUGGGGAGUACACAUUCACAGGAUUCUGAAAUGUCAUCUCCCUGGGAAGCUUGGGCACUAGGAUCCCACCCUUCAGGGAGCCUAGGUUUGAACAAGCUAGCACAUGUGCUAACUUAGGUCUGGGUUGAGUACCCAGAUAUUCCCAGCAUUUCACUUCUCAUCCUGGGCAAGUCUGUGCCUGCUCCUCCAACAUGCUUACUCAACAAAGCACUGCUUUCUAGAUUCCUACUGAUGCCAGAAGGAGCUAAGGAAGCCAUACAGGACUGUGGAGAAAGGGAAAUCUGGGCAGCCCUCAAAGCCAAGUUCAACUAGAGCUGUGGCUUGGUGCCCCAGAGUACAUGUUCAAUACUGUAUGGACCACCCAAAAUACCCAUAUCCGAUGUGGCUUUGUACCUUAAAAUUUUAAAGUUUUUCAAGUUCUGUUGAGUAUUUUAAGACUUUUAAAAAAUUUUUUUUAAAAAGUGCCCAUCGCUUCCUCUAAGCUGGGGGUACAUUCCCAACACAUUCUAGAUUUAGUCUCCCUGCUCCCAGCAGGAGUAGCUCUCCUAACCCUCCUCAGCACUGCUGCCCCUUUGUGCAUCAUCAAAUCCCUGUCAGUGGAAAGUGGGGAACAUGGCAGCUGGUGGUGGUGUGGUGGCUUAUGCCUUUUAUCCCAGUCCUUGGGAGGCAGAGACAGAUGAAUCUCUGAGUUCAAGGCCAGUGUGGUCUGCAGAGUGAGUUCCAGGACAGCCACAGGUAUGCAGAGUAGGGAGGGAACUAGGGAACAUGAAUAGGUCCCAUGUGUUUUGCUUUCCCUGGGGAGUUCUUUUUCUGCUCUACCAGUCUUCCAUGAGCAUAAAAUGCUCAGCCUGGUCAGGGGCUGGACAGCUCUCCAGAAGUCGUGUCUCCUUCUCUCCUGGCCCCUCCUGUCUACAUCUUGGAGCUGUCUGGUGGUAAGCAAUCCCAGACCAUAGUGCCAGGAUGACUAUAACCUAUUCCACACAGAGCCACACUCUUUAUAAGCCAAAUACCAACCAACCUAUAAGGAACGUUGAAGGACAACCUUAGGUCCAGUGUGGAGGUAUCCACACUCCCAAGUGACUUCCUUCCUCUCCAGGUUAGUUGCCCAAAUCCAUGAUGAGCUGCUGUUUGAAGUAGAAGAUACUCAGAUCCCUGAGUUUGCAGCUCUUGUCAGAAGGAUCAUGGAGUCCUUGCAACAGGUACAGACCUUGGAACUGCAGCUGCAGGU